ensembl:lncRNA
AUGAUUACACUAUCAGCUCAUUGAGACAGAACUGUUAAAGGAGGCAGGGGCUGAUAAAGGCGCUUUGGGUAUAGUAAAGAGAGUGGAGGAGAGAUUUACGUGGCAGCUAUUGACGCUUUCCAAGGGCCCUUGGCAUUGAGUGACACAAAACCCGCGAGGUGUGUUGGCAGGGUGCCAGGCCAAACUGCUUUUGUGUUAGCCUAUAGCUAGCCAUUACAAUGACAAAGCCAUGUCGUCGCGGGAAAUCCCAGAUCAGAGUUCUCAUUUCAGUGCGGAGCCCCCUCACGAACAGACCACAGAAACUGUGUAGUCAGUUAGUGACGCGCUCAGGCGCAUUUUCACACCAACUUUGUGUCGGUCAGUGUGCCCGCCUCACAUGCAUUCCAUUUCACCUGUUGACGACAUCUCACUACGAUCUGUCAUUUUCACUGGGAGUGAUUUGAAAGGAUUGAAUCAAACCAGAGAGGAGAGGAAAAUAUAGACAUCAAAGGUAUUCAGACGGGAUAUGACAGCAAACAGAAACUCUGAAAGUUAUCUGGAUAUAGUUCGUAUGAUUGAAAGCGAAAGCGCGCGCCCGGUCCAAACCCAUCACUUCUUUAUUUAGUCACUCUUGUUUUUAUGAGCGUCUAUUUUCUUCAAAUUCAGCGACAACAAUACACGUUCCCCACAACAAAAACGCAUUUGAAGAGAGAACGGCAUAUUCUCAGGAGAAAGAGAUGGAGAUUUCGCGGAAGGAGAUCGGGGUGUGAGGAUCAGGUGAAGAGUGUCUAAUCUGCCUUUGCCAUCCGUACUAUUAGCCAACGCACAAUCACUGGAAAAUAAACGGGACAAACUAAAAGCAUGUAUAAGCUACCAACGGGACAUUAAAAACUGUAAUAUCUUAUGUUUCACAGUGUCGUGGCUGAACGAUGACAUGAAUAAAAUACAGCUGCCGGGUUAUAUGCUCUAUCGGCAUGAUAGAAUAGCAGCCUCUGGUAAGACAAGGUGUGGCGGUCUAUGUAUAUUUGUAAACAACAGCUGGUGCACGAUAUCUAAGGAAGUCUCAAGGUUUUGCUUGCCUGAGGUAGAGUAUAUCAUGAUAAGCUAUAGACCACACUAUCUACCUCGAAUUUUCAUCUGUAUUUUUCGUAGCUGUCUACAUACCACCACAGACCAAUGCUGGCACUAAGACCGCACUCAAUGAGUUAUACCGCCAUAAGCAAACAGGAAAACACUCAUCCAGAAGCAGCGCUCCUAGUGGCCGGGGACUUUAAUUGCAGGGAAAAUAAAUUAGUUUUACCUCAUUACUAUCAGCAUGU